GUAGCAUGUUUUCACAGAGAGAGAUGGUGGAAGGGCACUGGUUAACUGCUAAACGUAAUCCUGUUAUGCUGGUGAGGAGUGUGUGUGUGUGUGUGUGUGUGUGUGUGUG